rnacentral:rRNA from 1 species
GAUGAACGCUGGCGGCGUGCCUAAUACAUGCAAGUCGAGCGAACAGAUGAGGAGCUUGCUCCUCUGACGUUAGCGGCGGACGGGUGAGUAACACGUGGAUGACCUACCUAUAAGACUGGGAUAACUUCGGGAAACCGGAGCUAAUACCGGAUAAUAUAUUGAACCGCAUGGUUCAAUAGUGAAAGACGGUUUUGCUGUCACUUAUAGAUGGAUCCGCGCCGCAUUAGCUAGUUGGUAAGGUAACGGCUUACCAAGGCAACGAUGCGUAGCCGACCUGAGAGGGUGAUCGGCCACACUGGAACUGAGACACGGUCCAGACUCCUACGGGAGGCAGCAGUAGGGAAUCUUCCGCAAAGGGCGAAAGCCUGACGGAGCAACGCCGCGUGAGUGAUGAAGGUCUUCGGAUCGUAAAACUCUGUUAUUAGGGAAGAACAAAUGUGUAAGUAACUAUGCACGUCUUGACGGUACCUAAUCAGAAAGCCACGGCUAACUACGUG